UCAAAGGCCUUUGUUAUAACUUUGAUGACAAAUAUUUACGAGGCCACAAAUGUAAAGAAAAAAAUAUUUU
rfam:Picea glauca, whole genome shotgun sequence.